rnacentral:lncRNA from 1 species
UUUUCAACUUUAUUAUUUUUAAUGGAUGCAUAAUUGACCAAUUUGUUCCAAGAAAAGCUUUCGAAAGGGUGAUCUUCUCUCACCUUAUUUAUUUUUGUUGUAUACAGAAACAUUUUCAUCAUUGCUUACGAAAUAUGAAGGAGAAGAUUUAGUUCAUGGAAUUUAGGUAAGGUGAAAGAUUCUAAAAUCACUCACUUAUUUUUUGCCCGAUGAUAACC